UGUGUGCCUUGAAGAUCGGAGUGCUUGCACUCUGUGAAACAAGAUACAGGCUAGCGGCGGACGGGUGAGUAACACGUGGGUAACCUGCCCAAGAGAUCGGGAUAACACCUGGAAACAGAUGCUAAUACCGGAUAACAACAGAUGAUGCCUAUCAACUGUUUAAAAAGAUGGUUCUGCUAUCACUCUUGGAUGGACCUGCGGUGCAUUUAGCUAGUUGGUAGGGUAACGGCCUACCAAGGGCGAUGAUGCAUAGCCGAGUUGAGAGACUGAUCGGGCCACAUUGGGGACUGAGACACGGGGCCCAAACUCCUACGGGGGGAGGGGCAGCAGUAGGGGAAUCUUCCACAAUGGACGCAAGUCUGAUGGAGCAACGCCGCGUGAGUGAAGAAGGGUUUCGGCUCGUAAAGCUCUGUUGUUGGUGAAGAAGGACAGGGUAGUAACUGACCUUUGUUUGACGGUAAUCAAUUAGAAAGUCACGGCUGACUACGUGCCAGCAGCCCGCGGUAAU
rnacentral:rRNA from 1 species